GACAAUAGCUCAGUCGGUAGAGCAACGCACUUUUAAUGCGUGGGUCGCGGGUUCGAUCCCCGCUUGUCCC
rnacentral:tRNA from 1 species